GGUCCUAAGGUAGCGAAAUUCCUUGUCGGGUAAGUUCCGACCUGCACGAAUGGCGUAAUGAUGGCCAGGCUGUCUCCACCCGAGACUCAGUGAAAUUGAACUCGCUGUGAAGAUGCAGUGUACCCGCGGCAAGACGGAAAGACCCCGUGAACCUUUACUAUAGCUUGACACUGAACAUUGAGCCUUGAUGUGUAGGAUAGGUGGGAGGCUUUGAAGCGUGGACGCCAGUCUGCGUGGAGCCAACCUUGAAAUACCACCCUUUAAUGUUUGAUGUUCUAACGUUGGCCCCUGACCGGGGUUGCGGACAGUGUCUGGUGGGUAGUUUGACUGGGGCGGUCUCCUCCCAAAGCGUAACGGAGGAGCACGAAGGUUAGCUAAUCCUGGUCGGACAUCAGGAGGUUAGUGCAAUGGCAUAAGCUAGCU
rnacentral:rRNA from 1 species